AAUCCCAGCUGCUAACAGAUACUGUUUGCUAAAGCUUAAAAGAAAUCGAUAUGUCUCAUUCUUUCUCUGUUGGAACCCAUCUGCAAAAUCACGCCCGUGAACCGGGACACAUCCGGGCAACUGGACCGGUUCAGGCAUGUCCCUAUACUCACAGCUAAACUUAACAUCAAGCUCAGGUAAAUGGAAGAGAAAAGACAGUGCCAUGGCCGUUGUAGUAAAGAAAACAUAAGCAGGAACACCGACUUCAUUUGCCACAUCGAACGCAGCCGACCCAAAAGGAUCAACAACUAGAGCAACUAGCCGAGUUGACUCGGCUAACACCUUGAGAGCAUCCCUUAGUGAAGAAAGGGAGCGAACGAGGGUGAGGGUGAUCCGAGUUUCUAUCUGAAAGUCGUCAGGCAAGUCAUCAAAACUCACAGGAGGAAGAAAGAUGGUGGAAAUGGAAGUGGGUAGGGAUUCGAGGACCUGUCUUAUUGUUUGAAUGGAUGAGCCUGUGCCAUCAUCGAUGGUGGGGAUGAAUAUGGUAACUAGAAAGUUGUAUUGAUGUACUAGUCGCUUGGCUAACUCAACUAGGGGAAUUAGGUGACCUAUGCCUGGCGUUGGCACCAUGGCUACAUAGGCACGAGGUAUUUGUUUUGAUUUUUGGGUCUCCAUUUUUAUCGGGUUUCUUUUGAAGUAGUGAUGUAAUUGAGAUAUAUUUUCUUCUGGGAAAUCAAGGUUUGUAACUAAGUAUAUGGAGGGCAAAACCUUGUCUGUGUUGGGUGCACUAUUCUGAUCAAGUGGUUUGCACAAUUAUAGAGGAACAUCUAAUUGGUCUAUGAGUCCCAUAAUAAGAACCAGAAAUUUUUUAUUUUAAUUUUUAAACGUUAUGAAUUAUUUGCAUUAUUGUGUUUCAUCGUGUGGACCCAUAAACCGACGCACGCACCACAUCAACCGCAGAAGUCCUUCUCUACAUAAAUUCGAUGUAAACUACAAAAAAAAUUGAUCUAUUGUGAUGGAAAAAAAUUAUCUUUAUAUAUAUAAAAUCUGUCACAAAAUAAAUUUAAUGACAUACUAUAUAUCGUUGUUUAUGUGUCGCAUUUGCCACCGUCACUAAUACAUUUAGUGGCAAUUAGUAAAUAAUCGCAAGUAUUAUGUGUCACUAAUACACAUCUUAUAGUGACAAAUAUAAGUUUAUGACAAGUAAGGACAAAAGCAAAAACCUGUCACUAAAAUCAUAUUUUUAGACAUAUAAAUCUGUCAUUAUUUUGAUACUAGGGGCUAUUAAUGUGUCAUUAUGUUGAUACUAGUGACUGUUAAUGUGUCGUUAUUUAUAUAGUUAGAGAUAAUUAAAUUAGUCAUUGAUGAUCAUUGUUGACAAUGAAAUGUGCCACUAUAGAUUCAAUUAGUGACAAUUUAUUUAGUCAUUACCAAAUUAAAUAUGACACUUGAAUGUAUUGCUAUUAAUAUCAUUAGUGACAAUUAAUUCAGUCAUCUCAAUAGUGAUGUAAAAUUUUGUCUCAAUGAAUAUAUUAGUGACAUCAAAUCAGUUAUUAUAUAUUUAAAUUUUGUAACAAUUUAAUCUGUCACAAAAUAUUUGUCCCUAAUGUUUGACAUAAGAGAUAAUACAAUCAAUGCAUAUGUGACAAGCGUGACUGAUUUUAAUUUAUCAUCAUAUGAAUGAAAUUUAAUAAAAUAAAUACAUAAAUAUUAUAAUAUUAUUUUCUUAUUAUAUAAUUGAUAUGAUACUUCUGAUGUAUUCUAAAAGUUUUUCAAGAGUGAUUCUUACAUAUAGUUUGCAACCUAUAUAAGUAUAGCGGAAGCAUUAAAAGUCAUAAACAUAAAAAUGUUUAUAUAAUAUACAAAUCCUCACACAACAUAAGAUUUUAAAAUGCAAAAAAAUUACAAUGAGUACAAAAUUUAGCAAGCAAACCAGUUUUUUACUAUGUCAAACUACAUACAUAUUUAUAUAUAUUGCAAAUGCAUGAUAUGCAAUUGUUUGUUGAGAAUAUCGUAAAAUAAAUCCAUCAAUAUCUCAUACUUUCACAUUUUCUUUCAAAUCACUUAUUUUAACUACAUUUAUUCAAUUAUCGCUUAGUAGGUUUCUCACUGAAUAUCUAGACUUUCAUAUAACACCAUUUUGGACUUCACGCAAGCAUCCUUCACCCACUUCUCUCUUAACAUAAUAUAUAAUGUAUCUAGUAAAAUAAGUAAUGAAUUCAAGCACCCAAGGAAAAAAAAAAGAAAUUUGUUUACUUUCAUCCUUAAGAAUUAAUUCGCUAAAAAUCCACUUUCUCAUUUUAUAAAAGACAAAAUGCACAUUCAUGCUUAUUCCAGUAGCCCUUCACAUAUACAUAUGUCCAUGUAUACAAUCACACUUAACACAUAACAAUACAUGACAUAGACACAUGGGUAAAAUCACAUAAAUUCAUAUCCAUAUACAUAACAAAAAUAGACUUUUCAAUUAUGUCAAACACAUACUUAUUUUUAUUGUAAUUCAUUUAGAAGCUUGGUUUACUUAUUUCUUCUAGAGUCCAUAAGUAACAAAAGUGUAUCAAAAUCUUUGGUCUAAAAUGAAUAUAUAAUAAAUAUUCUCUUAAGAUACACGAAUAAGAUCAUAAUUAUAAAAUCCAAUGUCCUCAAAUUCCUCAUUAUAAACACCUAAUAAACUCAGCCUAAAAAAAUCUCAAUACUUGUUCUAAGAUGGAAUAGGCCCUAUUCUCUAAUUUUUAAUAAAUUAUUCCUUUAUCGGAAAAAAAAAAAUCUUCAAUCUUUUAGAGAACAUGCUGACAUAUUGAAAAUUUAGAAUAAAAGUUCCAUACCUUAAUUCCUUCAAAAACUACUAAAAAAUAUUUUUGUUUCAGACUUCAUUAAAACUCUCAAACUAUUUAUUGUUUUGAACAUACUCACUUUAAAAAUACAAAACAAUUUAUCCUUUUAUCAUAAUAAUCAUGAAAAGUUUCAUAACCAUACUAGACAAAUAUACAAAUCACUAUUCCAAAUUUCAUAAUUUUUAAAAAAAUCUAGGUAUUGAUAAAAUGAUUUUGCAAUUCAUGAUCUUCACCAGAAAUAGAAAUUUCUAAAGUUUUAAGACUUGCAUUUUAAAAAUCAUAAUAAAUUGAAUUUUUAUAUGAUUAGUUUUUUUUCAAAACAUUCUUGAAAAUGUCUAGUUUAACAUACAAAACACAAAAUAAAUACUAAUUUGUACUAAUUAUUAUGAUUUUGGAAGCAACCCAUUAUUAGCAUAUUUUCACGCAAAAUCUAAGAUACUGCUCCUACUACUAUUAUCUUAUCAUGAUUUUCUAUUCAUUCAUAAACACAAAAAAUAGACUCAUUUCUUUGAUCUCUUUUCUCUUUCCAUUGAUUUACUCAUGGUCAAACUAAGAAGAAUAGUUUUUUUUUUCUUCUCUUCUUCUUUUCUUUUCUUUUAUUUUUCUUCUUCAUCUCUUUACUGCUCUCUCUUUCUCUCUCUCGUAAAAUAGAGAUAUCAUCUUUUUCCCUUUAUACUUAAGACAAGGGAAAGAAAAUAAAUACUUUAAUAAAAUAACUAAGAUACCCUUGAUCAAUUUGCUAAAAUACCCUAGAAAAAUAAGGGGUAUUACAAUCAGAGUGAAAAAAAUUGUUAUUGAUCUUGGACAUAAAAGCAAAAGGUGGAUUAUGAAAAUGAAAGCAAUAGCAUAGUUUAUCGAAUAUUAAUUGGUAUCAGUAUGAUGUACUAUUACUUGCAUGCAUUUGUUUAUUAUCAGCGUAUUCAUAAAGAAAUCUUUGUCAUUUUUUAUAGUCUAUAGUUGUUGUGUUGUGUAUCCGGUGCAAUACAUGCUGAUCACAAAUUAAGAUUCUCUCAUAAUUUUAUCUUUUAGUAGAGUAAAUAGAAACAUGUGAUUGAAAAACAUAAAUAUACUCGGUUAUAAGAUAAUUUUAUUCACUGACCUUUGGAUACUAUCUAAUGGAUAAAGUACUUUAUUUUUUUUUAUUUUCCCUUUCAUGCAUACUUUAAGCUAUUUUACCUUCUUUUAUUUUUGAACUAGUUCAUUAUAUCAAUAUUAGAAGUAUGUGUUACGUACAUGAAAGUUGUUUAUGCCGAAAAAUGAUACAAAAAAUGUUUUCUUGAUCAAUUUGGGUAUCAUAGAUAGUGGUAUCACCUCAUCCUUCGUGUAAACUUGAGUACGGAUGUCCUCUUAUUUUUGUGGAUCACCCACUUAAUUAAGUGACCCCUUUUAGACUUACCUGUUCAACAAUGGAUCUUUUAAGUGCAAUUUCUUACUUGCUUAUGGUUGAUAUGGUCGAGAUCCAUCAGCUGCAAAUGAACUAAUCAAGUUAUCCCUAAUUUUAAUAGACAUAAUACAUAAUAAUUUGUUGAUUUAUUGUCCAACUAAAAAGCUAAUUUAUCAUAACAAAAGUAUAAUCAAAACUCAAUUAUGAAUUGAGAUCUCUCAAUUUUGCAUCAUUUACUAACUUAGCUUUAUGUGUCAUUUGUAGGCUUGGAAAGGAAAAAAAAAAAAAAAAGGCCCGAGUUGUUCCAGCUAAGUUCCCGGCGGGGGGGGGGGGGGGAGCCGCCNNNNNNNNNNNNNNNNNNNNNNNNNNNNNNNNNNNNNNNNNNNNNNNNNNNNNNNNNNNNNNNNNNNNNNNNNNNNNNNNNNNNNNNNNNNNNNNNNNNNNNNNNNNNNNNNNNNNNNNNNNNNNNNNNNCGGGAGUCUCAACUCGAACGACAACCAAGCCCAAGCCUGUAUUUUGUCUUCCUUAGUCAUUACAUACAUGUACAAACAUAUGAAAUAUAAAAAUGAUGUCAAAACUGCUAAAGGAAAAAAAAUAAAGUACAAAAAAUUUACUUUAAUUAAUAUAAUAUAUGAUACAUAUCUUUAUUGAAUUGGUUCAUGCCCCCAAUUUUGUCCUCGAUUUUAUACAUCUAUUAUUUUCCAUCCCAAUUUUGUAAUCAUUUUUACACAUCUAUUAUUUUUCUAUCCCAAUUUUAUACUUGUUUCUACACUUUUAUUACUUUCUUAACUUUUAUGAAAUGUUGUGAAAAUCAGUUUACAAAGUGGGGCAAAAUGAGUAGAAAUUGGUUCAUUGAGUUUAUUGUUUGGAGGAAAAAGUAAGGGGGAUUGCCAAUUUCUCCCCUACGGUAAUUAACAUAUACCAUUUUUCUCCCUGCUGUUUUUUUACUGGCCAAAAACCUCUCUGAUAGCAUAAGUUUACAAUAUUACCCUAAUUUUCAACAACUCUUUUAUUUAUAUUUAUUAUCAAUUAAAUAAAUGACAUGAAUAGAAACUAAAAAAAAUAAGCAUUAAAAACAAGAAAUAUAUGUUUUGAUAUGAGAAAAAAAUUAAUAAUAAAUUUUUUUUUGUACUUAUUUUUUAAAAAUUUUCUUAUAAUAAAUAUAUAAGAAAGUUAUUAUAAAAUGAUAAAAAAAUUAUUAUAAGAAAAUUUGAAUGACAAAUAAAAAUUUAUUAUAAGAUAAAUUAUAAAAUAUUUUGCCUAUACUUUUUACAUUUAAUUUUAAAUAUUACAAAAUUUUUAUUAUAAGAAAAUGUUCACAAAAUAAAUAAUUACAAAAAAAAUUUAUUAUUAAUUUUUUUCUCAUAGCAAAACAUAUAUUUCUUGUUUUUAAUACUUAAUUUUUUUAUGUAGUUUCUAUUCAUGUAAUUUAUUUAAUUUAUAAUAAAUGUAAAUAAAAGAGUAAUUAAAAAUAAGGGUAAUAUUGUAAAAUUAUACUGUCAGUGGGGUUUUUUGGCUAUUAUAAAAACAGCAGGGGGGUAAAUGGUAUAUGUUGAUUACUGUAGGGGGGAAGUGGCAAUCCCUCGAAAAAGUAAAGUAGCUUGAGCUACCUUUCUAUAAAAAUUUUUAGGUUUUUUUCUUUAUUCAAAAUAAUAGAAUAGUUACAUAUUUUGCAUAGACCUUUUAGUCUUGAAAAAGUGAGAUGUUGCACAUAUGUUUUAACUAGAUUUUGGUGGAUCCAAUAAGAACAAAUACAUCUAUUUGAGGUGGGAUGAGGCUGCCUUUCUAAGCUUGUAGUGUGCUCUUGCAAGAAGGAGGAGGAUAGUUGUGUGAGUAAGAUGUUCAGCAAGGGGAAUGAAAAUAAGAUGAAAAUGGAGUAAAAAUCACCAGACCUUGAGCUAAGAAAACCUGCAAUACAGAAUAAACUGAGGUUAAAGGUGGAGCUAGCAGUGGCCUACAACCACAGUCCGACACCCAAGUAAAAUUUUGGAUGUUAAAAUAGCAACAUCAAGUCUAAGGGAUCUUAAAGCUAUAACAAUGGUAUUUUUGCUCUUAGAAGAAGAAGAAGAAGACUCUAAUUUUUUGAAUAAUGAAGAAGUUAUCAUUUUUGAAGAUACUAUUGAGCUUUUGUAGAGUGUGCUUAAGGGUCAUUUUAGUCCUUUUUAAUAGUUGACCCCCCUCAGGUGAGGUUGUUGAAGAAAUUUGCAUUGUGGUACCCUGAUGGUGACACCCGUGACUUGAGAGUCAAGAAAACCUUAGCCACUUUUUUACCUCCUCAGUAGGGCAUGUGGCAGCCUCUCUCAGUCUUGUGGUCUUACUGCUUUUUAGGGGAUAAAAAAGGAUAGCUGAGGUGGAUUUCUUUCGUUACUCGGCCGAAAAUCUUUAUUUUUAUUAUUCUUAGCUAAAAGGAAGAAUUUUUUUUUCUCUGCCAUGUCGGCAUACACUGUUUACGCUGGCCCAAACCACAAAAUUCUAAAACCUAAAAGUGUAUUUUCUUGACCUCCACUGGUGUCAUUGCAUGCUGGUAAAAGUGCUAUCUUCUUCAUUUGUUUUUUUCAACAUAAUUCAUUUUCUCUUAACUCAGGUACUUAGACCUGUACAUUAUAAAGCGUUAUUAGGGGUUGGCAAAAACUUUAUCAAAAUCGAAAAAAUUAUGUUUAGUUCAAUUUUUUUUAUUUGGUUCAAUUUUUUUAAGCGAAUGCAUAGAUAUUGAACUGAACCAUUUGGUUUGGUGAGAUUUUUGGAUCAAAAGUUGCAAAACCCAAACCGAACCAAUAAUAUCGUUUAAAUCCUUGUCUUUUAUAAAAUUUAAUAUGGUUCAAUGUUUAGCAAAUGUUGGCAUAUAGAUAAUCUAUUAUGUCCUAAUAUUUUUUGUAAACUUUUCAAAAAGGUGCUUGACCGAAAGUCAACAUGACAAAAUAUCAUUCUAGUCCCUAAUGUUUUGGUAUAGCACAUAAAGUUAUUUCAUUUGUUUACAUUUUGGUCCAAAAGUUUUGAUAUUAAAAACAACAAUAAUUAUUCUGAAAGUUCUUCAUUUUAGUCUAAAUUCUUGCAUUUUUUUGGCGAAUAAAAAUUUUUAAAUUAUUUUAUUUUUUUUAUUAUACAUUGAUUAUAGUAAACCUUGUGUGUAGGUUAACUUGAACCGAAAAAUUGAUUUGUUAAUUUGAACCAUUAAGUGAACCGUUACUGAAAAAUUAAAAUCGAACUGAAAAAUCGAUAACAAAUUGAAAUCGAGUCGAAUUGAACAAUCGGGUCUAGUUUAGUUUUUAUUUUCCUUAAAGACCGAAUGAGUUUUUAAAUUUCGAACCAAACUAAACUGAAAUUGAAAGUUUAUUCCAAAAUCGAAACAAACUGAACCGAAUCAGUGCCCAACCAUAAAUGUAAUGCCCAAAACUUUGACGAUUGUAGCACUGUAACUGGGAUUUGCUAUACCUUAAUUUUGGUUUUUGCCUCUUUCUCAUUCUCUAGUUGAGUUUUUUUCUCUUUUAUAGUUGGAAUUGUUGUUGUUGGAAUUCUAGCCUCGUCCACAACAGCGUGCUCCAUUUUUUCCUUGGCCUCUACCUUUACCUCGAGACCAUUGUCCUAUCUCAUUGCCUUAGCUUGUUAUCUUCUCAUUGCUUGGCAUCUCGAAGAGCUGCUCAUAGAUCUAUUGCUUUUUCUUAUGCUUCUCUUUGUAGGCUUACAGUGAACCUUGAAGUUGCUUGAUUAUAACGGCCUUCAAGUCUUUUAUCACUUCAGUUGUCACAACUAUGUGCUUGAAUCUUAAGCUUAAUGAGCAAAGUAUCUUUUCCAUAAUUUUUACAUCUUUGAUAUUCUCACAGUUUCUUUUUAGUAGGUUUGAAAUUGCCAGAGCUAUUGAAAAAUAAUAAAAAAUGGACUCAGCUUUGCGCAUCUGCAAUGAUUCAAAUUCACCUCUUAGAGUUUGGAGAUGCAUCUUUUCCACUCUCCUAUAUCCUUUAUAAGAGGUUUGAAGUUUUUUUCCAUGCUUUCUUGGCUGAAGUUGAACUCGAAAUCUUCUUAAAUCCAUCAUUAUCUAUUGUUUGAUAGAUAAGGAAGAGAGCUUUCUUGUCUGUAUUUUUUGAAUCCUUUAAACUAUCCUUUUAAUGUUGAGUCAAAGCAAGCCUCCUCUUCUUAAAUCCAUCAUCGCAACCUUUUUCAAUGACUUUCCAAACAUCAUGAGCUCCAAAGAGGGCCUUCAUUUUAUUACUCCAAUUAUCGAAGUUGCUUGCUUUUAGUGAUGGAAUUUAGAAUGGUGCCACACUAUUAUUUGCCAUAACUUUUUAUAGAGUUGAAAUUUAAAAAUUUUGGUUGCAUAGAUGGAUUUAAAACAUCCAAAAUUCUAGGGAAGGAUUCAAACCAAAAUUUCAAAAUUUGGUCAAUGGUCUACGGUCAACGAUUGAUGGUUAGUGGUCAACAACUGAGGUCGAAGGCCAAUUGAUUAGUUCGACUCGAUUGACUUGGCUCGAUUAUGGCUCAAUUUAUUUUAGUUUAGCUUGAUUCAAUGCGGUUCACCUGGUUCAGUUUGGUCCAACUGAGUAAGUCGACUUAGUUUCAAGGUUGAAAAUUUUGGCAGCAUGUAUGGGCACAUUCGGAUUUCGAUCAGGCUGGUUUUUCCAGUUCGAAAUCCUCUUGUCAAGAUCUUCGAUUAGAUAUGCUACAAUAUUCUAUAGGGCACUAGUUAUUAGUUUGGAUACCACUCUGUUGGAGAAUUUGAAUGAUUAAACACUCGAAAUACUCUUUUUUUUUUAUGAACUCAAUACAAUUCCUCAAUUACAACUCUUUUAGAACUAAGAAAGUUUACUACUUCAUGUUGCUUAAACCAACUAAGAAAAGAGGUAUUUAUACUUGCUACAACUUAAUAGUUUUUAUAUGUUAUAAAUAUUUAUAAGGUAAGCAUUUGAUACAUAAUUUAUGGAAAAUAAUUUGAUAAUAUCAUUUUUUGCCAUUUAACAUAAUAUUUAUGCAUAAAAAAGUUGUUAUCUAUUAAUAAAAGAGUUUGUUUAAAAUUCAAAUUGAAUGUAUGUUAAGUAAUUAGUACCAAAUAAAAUUUGAGAUCCCACAAAUUAUAAUAUAACAUCUAAUAAUUAGAUAGGAAUAAAUACAUUUAAUGGGGGUAUUUGUGAGAAAAAAUUAAUUUUCCAUUCAGAGAUAAAGAUUAGGAAAUUUUACUUUUCCAUUCCGAUAAAAAUGUCAUAUAAUAAGACUUCAUAUAUAAAAGCAAAUAAGUCAAAAUAUCAAAACAUCUUAAAUUAAGCUUAAUUAAUAUUUUAGACAUAAAACAAACAACCCGUAAGUCUUAACUUAAGAUAUGAGAUCUUAAGAUAUGAGAUUUUGGAGCUUAACAUCACUCCGACAAAUAAGAGAUUUAGACACCAUCGGCCAUAUCACUCACUCAUGACGUAAUUUGCGUUUUGAGUUUAUGUUUUUAUUUUUUUAAAAAAUAUCUGGCUUAAUGAAUAAUAACUUCCAACUUUUUAUUCGUCUUCUCCCAUUUUCAGUUAAAGUUCCCCAUCAUAAAAAUAAAAAUGUUGAAUGGGAACUUGUGAGAAAGUCUUAUUUUAUUUUAAUUAAACUCUUAUUUAGUAUUGAGAUAUUGUAAUUUUUAAGCUAUAAUUAUUGUAAAUAAAUUUUAAUUAUAAAUAUAAAUUAAUAAUAUUUAAUAAAUAUAAAUUUUAAAUAAUAAUUUUAAUAAAAAUUAUAAAAAUAUUAUAAGUUUGAAACAAAUCAAAUUUAUUUAUAAAUCAAGUAAUUAAUAUUUAUCAAAUUAAUUAAUAAAUUACAUUAAUUUUUAUCAAAUAUUUUGAUAUUUUACCAACCCAAUCUCAAUAGCAAUGUCACACCGUUACCGUAUAAAUCGCUUUACGAGUUACUGAACCACAACCACAAGCACAAGAUUCACCGAUGACCGAUCAUCCUCAUCUUUUGGGAUGAAGAUAUUUGAGCAAGCCAACUACAAAAGAGAUGCACGUUAUCCACGAUUCUAAAAACUAUUGAUUGUCAUUGGGUCUUUCGUGGUGGGGCACAAGCACAUGAUUCACAAUCAUCCUCUGUUUUAGGGUUUUUAGAUUUUUUUUUUCCCCAUAUUGGCGGGCACAACCGAUGUUUUCUUUUUAUCAUUGGAACAUAAUUUUCACCUAUAAUAGAUGAGUUGGAUAGAUUAAGAUAAACUAAUAAAAUUCUUUUUAGUAUCUUAUUAGAUUUUAGUAUUACAUUAUUUUUCUUUCAGACAUAAAGAAUUGUAAGUGACCGAAUUUGUGUUUAUAUUGUGAGGCAUUAUCCUAACUCAUGUUCUGUAUUGUCCUAAGUAUUAUAUUAAGCCUAAUACGACCUUGUAUUUGCGUUGGAUGUGACUUUGACUAAGAUUAUACUUAAAUUUUCCUAAAAACAGUUGCUAUAUAGUCAGGGCUUAUUAAGAUGUAUUUAGCAUAAAAUGUGGAAAACAGACAAAUAUUAUUAACCACUAAUCACAUGUUGCUCAAUACACAGGAGCAGGUCAGAUCAUAAGAUCAAUUUUAUCCGAAAUACUAUGCCCUCUAAUCUUAAAUAUCAGCAGAAAAUGUGCAAGGGAAGUCAUGGAUUCGUGGCACAUAAAAGCUCAGGUAUAAAUGCAUUGUUAUUAUGUUAAUUGAUGAACUACUUGGCCUCAUCCCUAUACCAUCUUAUGGAGAUUUAUUCUAUAUAAUGAUCAUUAAGAUAAAUGAAAGAAAGAAGCAUAAAGUGUUUCAUUUUACUAUUAAUUUUUUGGUCAAUGUAUUUUCGUGCUUGUUAUUUAUGGUGAGCACUUAUACUUAACCCCACCAUGGCAAUAGAAAGUUAGAAACGGUGCGUCCAUGGUGCCAUAUGGAGACAUCGUUUCUGCGUGCAUGAUGGCUAUUUAUCUUUUUUUUUUCUUUUUUGGAUUACCUACUUUCCGAAAAUUUUAAUAGGUAUUUUUUUUUUAUUUCAUGACUUUUGCAGUAGGUCCAAUUAAUAUACAAUUUACCUGGGUAAUUAAAUGAUUAAAUAAAAUUAUUUGAAAAACUAUAAUUCGACAUAAUAUCUAUUUAUUGUUAAAAAUUGACUUGUAAGAAGCCGAAGUCCAAAUAUUUUUAGAUUAGGCUACAUGUAAAAUUUUAAGAGAUGCUAGAUAUUAACAUCACUUUAACAAAUAAGAGAUUUAGACACUGCCGACUAGCAUAGUAAGUUUAUUGUUGGAGUUGUGAAGCUCAAAUAUGAACCUGGGGAUUUGUAUGACAUGUCGAUUGUUUGUCAUGAAGUAUAAUGAUUUGUCGUUUGAAUUAGAGUUCAGAGAAGCUGAAUGGAUUAAACGCUAUGUCGGCUGGAUGUGUUAGUAAUGCACGUGAUUCAUCAUAUGAUUCACUAAUUCAAAUGGCAGCCACAUCUGCGUUUUAGCUAGCAGAUUGCAUGAGCCUUUGACAAGUGUCCCAGAGCUAAUUCAAGAAUUGGUUAUUUCAGUUAGAUCACGCGGGAGGCUGAAGUUGGCUAGAAACCCAGGAACGUGAGCUGACUUCUGGGGGCUCUUUCAUCUGGUUCUGAGAGAAGUAUAAAAGAUCCCAGGCUCUGUUACUAAAGGCAUUCUAUUGAGUUGUAUUCACUCUUCAUAUGUGUAACUUGUUCUCUGGAAAUCAGUAAAAGCUUAUUUCUCUUUUCACAGUGGAUGUAGGCAAGAAAUUGGCCGAACCACUAUAAUCCUUGGUGCAAGUAUGUGAUCUGUCUUUUAUUGUUUGUGUGGUUGGGUUUCAAGUGCUUAUACGUAAUUCUUGUACAAAGCUUGGUUUAGUGUUAACUCCAGAUCAGGGUCAAGUUUCAUAGAGUGGGUCUUGGGGAUUCCAAGUUGAUCUUGGAGAUUGAUUUGGAUUCAACAAAUUGGUAUCAGAGCCUAUCUCUGGUUUCUUGGUCUUUGCAAUGGCGUCAACUAAACUGGAAGUGGAGAAGUUUACUGGCGAAAAUGAUUUCCACCUAUGGAGGCUCAAGAUGAGAGCUUUAUUGGUGCAUCAAAGGUUGGAUGUUGCACUCGAUGAUGAAUCAACAUCCAAGAAGCCAAUGAAAGUAACUGAAGAAGAAUUAUCUGAGGUUCUUGAUAGGGCACACAGUGCAAUAAUUCUAAGUCUUGGGGAUGGUGUACUUAGAGAGGUGGGUGGAGAAAAAACAGUAGCAGGUUUAUGGAAGAAACUUAAAGACUUAUACACAAAGAAGUCAAUGGCUAAAAGACUAGCCACCAAGAAAAAGCUUUAUACCCUGCAGAUGGAAGAGGGAUCAUCAAUUACUUAUCACAUUGAUGCUUUUAACAAGAUCAUCUUGGAUCUUGAAGACAUUAAUGUGAAGAUUGAUGAUGAAGACAAAGCCAUGAUUCUGCUCUGCUCUCUGCCGAGUUCCUAUGAGAAUCUAGUAGAUACUUUGAUGUAUGGAAGACAGACUCUCGCUAUAGGAGAUGUAAAAGAAGCUCUGAGUUCCAAGGCUGCAAUCAAGAAAGAAACCAGGGAUGGAGAAGGGUUGACAGCAAGAGGAAGAGCUGAAAGUAGAGAGACAAGUAAGAACAAGAAGAAGAGAUCAAAAUCCAGGCCAAAGAACUUGAAAUGUUUUCACUGUCAUAAGGAGGGUCAUUUCAAGAAAGAUUGCCCUGAAUUCAAGAACAAGAAGAAGAGAUCAAAAUCCAGGCCAAAGAACUUGAAAUGUUUUCACUGUCAUAAGGAGGGUCAUUUCAAGAAAGAUUGCCCUGAAUUCAAGAACAAGAAGAAUAAAGCAAAGGAGAAGAGUGGAGAUGCUGCUGUUGCAUCAGAAUUUGAAGAAUCUGAUGGCUAUGACUCUGCUGGAGUUCUAAUAGCAACUAAUGCUCAAACAAAAGGUAAUUGGGUUUUAGAUUCUGGUUGUUCCUUCCACAUGUGCCCUAAUAAAACUUUAUUCACAAACUAUGAGACCUGUGAUGGUGGGGUAGUGGUAAUGGGUAAUGAUUCAAGCUGUAGAGUGGUUGGCAGAGGUUCAAUUAGGUUGGAAAUGUUUGAUGGCAUGAUUAGGGAACUGAGGGAUGUCAGGCAUGUGCCCGAUCUCAAAAGAAACCUUAUCUCCCUAGGAAUGCUGGAUAAAAUAGGAUGCCUUGUUAAGCUUGAGCCAGGCACUUUAAAAGUCUUGAAAGGGUCAAUGGUUGUGAUGAAAAGGAACAUGAGCAAUGGUUUGUAUGUGUUACAGGAAUCAGCUAUUACAGGGGAUGUUGCUGUGUCAAACCAGAAAACAAACAAAACCAUGUUGUGGCAUAUGAGGUUAGGCCACAUGAGUGAAAGGGGCUUGGUAGAACUAUCAAAACAGGGAGUCUUAGGAGUAGAUAAGAUAGAGCCUUUGAGAUUCUGUGAAGAUUGUGUCCUAGGAAAAUCUUCAAGGGUGAAAUUCAGUACUGGUAUCCAUAACUCAAAGGGGACUCUAGACUACAUUCAUGCUGAUCUGUGGGGGCCUACACAGACAGCUUCUCUAGGUGGGGCUAGGUAUUUCUUAUCUCUUAUUGAUGAUUUCUCAAGAAUGGUUUGGGUAUUUAGUUGAAGAGCAAAGACAAAGUGUUUGAUCAGUUUAAGAACUGGAAAACUUUAGUUGAAAAUCAGACCAAUAGAAAGGUGAGAAGACUGAGAACAGAUAAUGGGUUAGAGUUCUGCAAUAAGGACUUUGAUGAUUUCUGUACAAAGCAUGGUAUAGUUAGACAUAAAACAGUAAGACACACUCUACAGCAAAAUGGAUUAUCUGAAAAGAUUAACAGGACCCUAAUAGAUAAAGUUAGGUGUAUGCUGAUCCACGCUAAGUUACCCAUGAGUCUAUAGGCUGAAGCUCUUGAUACUGCUUGCUUCAUAGUAAACAUGAGUCCCUCUUCUGGAAUCAAUUUCAGAACCCCAUAUGAGCUCUGGUCUGGUAAACCAGCAGACUAUUCUCAAUUAAGAAUAUUUGGCUGCCCAGCCUAUGCUCAUGUCAAACAAGGGAAGUUAGAGCCCAGGGCCUUCAAAUGUGUGUUCUUAGGAUAUUCUGCUGGUGUGAAGGGUUACAAGCUGUGGUGUACAGACAUGAAGCCACCAAGGGCAAUAAUCAGCAGGGAUGUGGUGUUUAAUGAACAUGAAAUGCUUCAAAACUCAGCUACUGAAAAUCAACCCAUUGAGAGAAAAUCAGGUGGUGACAAGAAGAGUUUUCUUGAGGUGGAGUUUCCAAGCUCUAGCACAGAAGCUGAUAAAAAGACAAGGCCUGAGAAUGCACGUGGAAUAGAUUUGCCUGAACGAGAAGAUGAAUCAGAAGGUGAAGAUGACCUCAGAGAUUAUCAGCUGGUAAGAGAUAGAAAGAAAAGAGAAAUAAAGCCACCUAAGAGGUAUGCAUAUGCAGACUUGAUUGCAUUUGCACUAUCAGCAACACAGGGAAUAGAAGAAGAUGAACUAAAGUCUUACACUGAAGCUGUCAGUAGUAAGGACUCAAAGAAGUGGAUUGCAGCUAUGAAUGAAGAAAUGAGAUCACUGAUCAAGAAUCACACCUGGGAUCUGAUUCCAAAACUAGCAAAAAAGAAAGUUGUUGGCUGCAAGUGGAUUUAUAAGAUCAAAGAGGGUAUACCAGGAGUUGAACCGCUUAGAUACAAAGUCAGGCUGGUUGCCAAAGGCUUCACACAAAAAGAGGGAAUUGAUUUCAAUGAGGUUUUUUCCCCAGUGGUAAGACACUCUUCCUUGAGGAUCUUGUUAGCACUGGUUGCAGUAAAUGACAUGCACCUGGAACAGAUGGAUGUCAAGACUGCAUUCCUUCAUAGUGAAUUUGAAGAAAUGAUUGUAAUGGCACAACCAAGAGGUUAUGAAGAUCCAGCUAAAGCUGACUAUGUGUGUCAUUUGAGAAAGUCUCUAUAUGGAUUAAAGCAAUCCCCGAGACAAUGGUAUUUGAGAUUUGAUAAAUUCAUGGCUGAGAAUAGCUUUCAAAGAUGCUCUUAUGAUUGCUGUGUAUACCACAAAGAUUUGAAGGAUGGGGGUAAGAUCUAUAUGUUGAUGACAUGCUUAUAGCAUGUAACCACAUGGAUCAGAUAGAUAAACUGAAAAAGUAGUUAAGGAAUACCUUUGAGAUAAAGGACCUUGGAGCAGCCAAGAAGAUUCUUGGAGUAGAGCUGCUGAGAGAUAGUAAAAAGGGGAUACUAAAACUGUCACAGCACUGCUAUAUAAAGAAAGUACUUGAGAGAUUUAAAAUGGUGGAUUCAAAACCAGUUCAAACUCCUCUAGCUGCUCAUUUCAGGUUGUCUUGUAAUCAGUGUCCAAGAACUGAAGAUGAAAAAGCUAAGAUGAGCACAACUCCAUAUUCAAGUGCUGUGGGAUACUUGAUGUAUGCCAUGGUCUUAACAAGGCCAGAUAUCUCCCAUGCAGUAAGUGUAGUUUCCAGGUAUAUGGCUAAUCCUGGAAAGGAGCACUGGAGAGCUGUAAAAUAAAUCUUGAGAUAUCUCAGUGGGACUGCUGAUUAUGGCCUCAUCUAUGGUACAAAAAGAGGUACAGAAGUUGAUGUUGAAGGGUAUGUGGAUGCUGACUAUGCAGACGAUCUAGAUAAAAGGAGGUCUCUGACAUGCUAUUUGUUCACACUCAGUGGCUGCACCAUAAACUGGAAAGCUUCACUACAAAGUGUUGUUGCUCUGUCAACAACAGAAGCCGAGUACACUGUGUUGAGUGUUAGAAAAUGUAUAUUUAUAAAGGAGAAAAUCGUCAUUUUACACUACAAGUUUUAUUAACACAUUUAAUUUUAUGAAUUUAACCUUCUUUUGAUUUAAUUCCGUGUGUUUUAUUUUAAUUAAGUAUUUUAUGUAUUUUAGGGGCAUUAUAGUCAUUUCACAAUAAAGGAGAGAUCAGACUGCAAAACGGACAUCACUUUUGAACUCAGAACGGUCGAAAACCUUAGGAGGAGCAUAAAAAGAAAAAUGUCACUAUUCACAUGUACGGUACUGUAUACGUUACUGUUUACGACACUGUUCACAUAGAUGGACGAUGACGUGGCAUUGACCGAUGAUGUGGCAUUGACUGAUGAGGUGUCACGAUCCUGUUGGGCUAAAAUUCUUAUAUAUUGUUGAUGGUGACGUGGCAACAUAUCAGUGGACGAAAAAUCUCGCGUACGGUACAUGCAUCACACAGGAUUAUUGUCAACCAAACCGCAUUACUGUUCAUCCGGGUCAAACCGUGUUACUAUUCAUCCACGUGGUCAAACCGCGUACUAUUGACUGAUGACGUGGCGCAAUCCUGAGCGUCCAAACUGUUUUUAAUCUGAUGGCCAUGAUUUACUCCAUGUAUCUAUAAAAAGGGGGCCUCUCCCCCCUAAUUUGAUAUCUCUGAAUCCAUUUUUGGGAUCCAUUUUCUGUAAUUCCCUCUCCAUCUUGUAUUUUCUUCGUAUUUUAAUAAAUUUCCAUUUUGCCCCUAGUUCAAUUAUGAGUAGCUAAUUUCUUUUCAAGCUUGGGUUGAAGGUGAAGUCUCAACAUGUGUCAUGGGCUUUAUUUGGUAAAUUUAUUUUCUCUUCCCCUCUAGUUUUUGUGGAUGUUUUGACUUCUCGUCGACAAAUAAUACUAAUUUUGUCUAGUACCGCCUUGGUUUCACUGGCCCUUUAGUACAAGGUUAUUAUUAUUUGGCACGAUAAGCCCUUAGCACCAUAUUGAUUAGAGCGUGGUUCAUGAGAUGUGGAUUCCCCCCUCAUGAUUUAGUUGACAUUAAUACGGAUUAUUUAGCCCAUGAUGCAUGUUGAUACGGAUCCAGAUACCCAAGUACGUUAUUUCAAUAGAAUUCUCUUCAAUUUAUUCUCACCAUUUCAAUUCCAAAUUUAGAAUUUAUUCUCGCCAUUUUAAUUUAAGUUUUAGCAUAUUCCAAAUCAUUUCCACCAUAAAUCCAACAACCCAUUUACAAAAUUAAUUCUAUACACAAUUAAAAUCCACCUCCUCGUGAGAUCGACACUCGUCACCAUUAGUCUAUACUACAAUAGAUUCGUGCGCUUGCGAGUACAUUAAAAUUUGCACAACACACUGCAGCUGCAGAAGCCUUUAAGGAGGCAAUAUGGCUCAGAGGAAUGGUUACAGAAUUGGGAUUUGAACAAAGACAGGUGGUUGUUCACUGUGACAGUCAAAGUGCUAUUUGCCUAAGCAAGAACCAGGUGCAUCACGAAAAGACAAAGCACAUUGACAUUAAACUUCACUUUUUCAGGCUGGAGGUGUCUAAAGGAGUGGUGAAGCUGAUAAAGGUUCACACUGAUAAUAACCUUGCUGAUAUGUUGACAAAGGUUGUACCAGUUGCCAAGCUGGAGUUCUGCAUGAACUCAGCUGGUAUCUGUAGGCUAUAAAACUGCAGGGAUAAAGUGGAAGGCAGAAACUGAGGAGUAACUUAUUUGAGUUCAAGGUGGAGAAUGUUGGAGUUGUGAAGCUCAAAUCUAAACCUGGGGAUUUGUAUGACAUGUCGAUUGUUUGUCAUGAAGCAUAAUGAUUUGUCGUUUGAAUUAGAGUUCAGAGAAGCUGAAUGGAUUAAACGCUAUGUCGGCUGGAUGUGUUAGUAAUGCACGUGAUUCAUCACAUGAUUCACUAAUUCAAACGGCAGCCACAUCUGCGUUUUAGCUAGUAGAUUGCAUGAGCCUUUGACAAGUGUCCCAGAGCCAAUUCAAGAAUUGGUUAUUUCGGUUAGAUCACGCGGGAGGCUGAAGUUGGCUAGAAACCCAGGAACGUGAGCUGACUUCUGGGGGCUCUUUCAUCUGGUUCUGAGAGGAGUAUAAAAGAUCCCAGGCUCUGUUACUAAAGGCAUUCUAUUGAGUUGUAUUCACUCUUCAUAUGUGUAACUUGUUCUCUGGAAAUCAGUAAAAGCUUAUUUCUCUUUUCACAGUGGAUGUAGGCAAUAAAUUGGCCGAACCACUAUAAUCCUUGGUGCAAGUAUGUGAUCUGUCUUUUAUUGUUUGUGUGGUUGGGUUUCAAGUGCUUAUACGUAAUUCUUGUACAAAGCUUGAUUUAGUGUUAACUCCAGAUCAGGGUCAAGUUUCAUAGAGUGGGUCUUGGGGAUUCCAAGUUGAUCUUGGAGAUUGAUUUGGAUUCAACAUUUAUUUAUUUACUUAUUUAAAUUUUAUUUGACUUAAAUGCAUCAUGAUUAUUGUACUUCUUAUUCAACUCGCCCACAAAGAGAAAAAAAUAAUAACAAAAAAGUGAAUGGGACUUGUUGGAAACCCUCGUCUACUUUUAAAACUCUUGUCUACUUCUAACCAUCAUUAUCAUAUGACCCAGAGCAAGCACAUCAUUAUUCUUUAAUCACCCUCUCUAUUUGGUGAUGAAGAUAACUCGUUAUUCAUAAUUUUUAAAACUUAUUGAUUAUCAUUGGUUCUAUUUUAGUAGUAGGGCAGAAGCUCAAAAAGUGAACUGGUCCUUACAACGACAACAACAAAAGAAAAGAAAAGAAAAGAAAAGAAGGGUGUCCAAAAAUUAAAAAUCUUUUUUGAAUUUUAUCAGUUUGAAUUGUAGUGGUCAAUUAAAUAAGUUGCUUGAAAGUUACUUAGUCACGCCAAAGACACAAAAGUCAAGAGAUUUUGCCAUUAUUAUUUUUAAAAGUGUCAUAAUAGUAUAGUCAUGACGCAUCUAAAUUUAUAUAGUACAAAAUGUGUGACAGGAAUAAAUAUUAUGUUCUAGUCCUAAUUAGCAAAAAAUUUGCAAAGAAAAUCAUUGUUUAUAAAUCAUAGGCAUGGGUGCAGUCUUAUUAUGGUAAUUAAUGUGCCUCAAUAACAUUUUAUUAAGAAGUAUUAUGAUGGUAAUUAAGAUAUAUGAAAGAAAGAACUUUGAAAGGGUUUAUUUUUUAAUUAAUUUUCUAGUCAUAAACGUGUUUUUACCCUUGUUAUUUACUAAUUACUUGCUUUACUAUAUUAUUAAGCGUUAAUUCUUUCUUUUUGUUUUUCUGGAGCACCCAAGAUUAGUAAGUCUGACUAAAUACAGCUGAACUAGAUAUUAUUAAGAGUUAGAUACAGUUGAUGCUGGAGACAGUGCAAUAUUUUUUGGAGAAAGAAAAAAAAAGAAAGAAUUUAAGAUUAGGUGACCAGCUAAUUACACUUGAUUAAUUACUUGAAAAUUGUUAGAUUAGGUCGUUAGGCAUAUACCACGCAAUGUUGCAAUUAUUGGAUUAGCAAAAAAAUAAAGAAGAUUACACAUGCAUUGAAGGAAACCGCAUUACUUUGUCUCAAUUUCCGGGUUCUUCCAUCUCUGAGCCACCUGGGCAAGUGAUUUGGUAGAAGAUCCAUCUGGGCUCAAAGCAUUUGCGGCUGCAUCCUUUAGUGCUCUCAUCUUCUUCCUUAGCAACUUCCCUUCUUCUCCUUGAAUCAAGCCCUUUGCAUAAUUGGCUAUAUCUUCUCUGCCCACCAGACCAUUUUCAUUGACUUUGACCCUGAAUGAGACCUUCAAAUCAUCAGUCAGAAGCACAGCGUUCAUCUUUUGUUCUGAAUAGAGUGGCCAUGCAAUUAUUGGCACACCGUGCACUAUGCUUUCCAAAAUCGAGUUCCAUCCACAGUGACUCAAGAACCCUCCGGUCGAGCCAUGCCUCAGCACCUGAACCUGAGGAGACCAAGAGGGCACCACUAGACCCACCCCUUUAGUCCUAUCCAGGAACCCUUUCGGUAAAAAAUCAAGAGGAUCUUUCAUGCUCUGGACACUAAAAUAAGUGGCAUUUGCUGCUUCCUCAUGUGGGCUCUUAGCAACCCACAAGAAUCUUUGCCCACUCAUUUCAAGUCCUAAGGCCAAUUCAUUUAACUGCUCCUGUGAUAGCGUCCCUCCACUACCAAAACAAACAAAUAGAACUGACUCACUUGGCUGCUCAUCUAACCACUUCAAACACGCAGGGGAUCUCUUAUUAGUCUCAUUGGUUGAUCCGGUCUGAAUCAACGGUCCAACCGGAUAAACCGGAGGAGGAUUAAAACUCGAUUCUCCUUCCAUUAAAGCCUUGAAAGGCCCCGUUUCCAAUUCCAUAAAACUAUUAACCAUAAUCCCAGCUGCUAAAUGAUACUGUUUCCUAAAGCUUAAAAGAAAUCGAUAUGCCUUAUUCUUUCUCUGUUGGACGGGCUCUAUAAAAUCACGCCCGUGAACGGGGACGCAUCCGGGUAACUGGACCGGUUCAGGCAUGUCCCUAUACUCACAGUUAAACUUAACAUCUAGCUCAGGUAAAUGAAAGAGAAAAGACAGUACCAUGGCCGUUGUAGUAAAGAAAAUAUAAGCAGGAACACCGACUUCAUUUGCCACAUCGAACGCAGCCG
rnacentral:lncRNA from 1 species